rnacentral:rRNA from 1 species
AGUGAACGCUGGCGGUAGGCCUAACACAUGCAAGUCGAACGGCAGCACAGUAAGAGCUUGCUCUUACGGGUGGCGAGUGGCGGACGGGUGAGGAAUACAUCGGAAUCUACUUUUUCGUGGGGGAUAACGUAGGGAAGCUUACGCUAAUACCGCAUACGACCUACGGGUGAAAGCAGGGGAUCUUCGGACCUUGCGCGAUUGAAUGAGCCGAUGUCGGAUUAGCUAGUUGGCGGGGUAAAGGCCCACCAAGGCGACGAUCCGUAGCUGGUCUGAGAGGAUGAUCAGCCACACUGGAACUGAGACACGGUCCAGACUCCUACGGGAGGCAGCAGUGGGGAAUAUUGGACAAUGGGCGCAAGCCUGAUCCAGCCAUACCGCGUGGGUGAAGAAGGCCUUCGGGUUGUAAAGCCCUUUUGUUGGGAAAGAAAAGCAGCAGGUUAAUACCCCGCUGUUCUGACGGUACCCAAAGAAUAAGCACCGGCAAACUUCGUG